UCGAGCGUUAAUUUUCCCUUUUCCUGCCCUAUUUCCACACGGGGCAGUGGAAAAGGCUCAUUUUACCGCUCCCCCACUACACGCUGCACCCACGCCGCGCACAUUUCCCCAGCGGCGCCUCGGGUGAAGCGCUCCGGGAAAGAUGCUGCCGGCCCCACGCGUGUCUCUGAGCAUCGCCCGAGCGCCCUCCCGAGGCUCCGCUCCUCCCGCUGGAGGAGAGCGCUGUUAUCCACCACCACCACCCCCCCAGUGACAGGGUGGCUGCUUGGACUUCAUCUUGCAGGAUGCUCCCGUGGGAAAAGGGGCGUUAAGGCAUCUUUAGCUACUUCAAGCUGUCUGCGUGAAGUUAAGUCUCUUUAAAAACUUAUGGUUAGUAAUUAUACACCCCCCUCCUCUUCAUCCGAUUAACAACUACUAUUAAAUUGGCAAAUAUCAGAGAAAUUGAACUAUUUUAAGUUCAAGUAUGUGAAAUACCUAAGUUUUCUAAUUACUUAACAGUUUUUAAACUGCUGGCUUCACCCCGAGGUGCUCCGCUGACAGAAUUACAAACAAAACACACAAAAAAACCUUCAAAAUUUCUAUUUUAAUAUUUACUUUUUUCCCAGAAGACCUGGCUAGCUCUAUGGCACUUCAGCAGGACUCUGAGCAACUUGGAUGGAGCUUUGAGCAACCAGGUCUAGUGGAGGGUGUCCCUGCCUGUGGCAGGGGGGUUGGAACUGGAUGAUCUUGAAGGUCCAUUCCAACCUAAACCAUUCCAUAUUCCUAUGACCAGCGCAGCCGCUGACUUCCCAGUCCAGUGCUCAGAUGAAGCAUGAAGCUGUGCCGUGCCACUCGGUGGUGGCUUUCUGGGGAGCGCGGGAAUAGCUGGGGCAGGGCUGGUCCGCGCUCUCCCUUUGGCUGUGAACUCCUUGUGGGAAGCCUGUGGGAUCUGGGGGUUUGAUCCUGCAGCCUCAUUCCACAUCAGCAUUAAGCACUGACAGUGAUGCAAGAAGUGGAAACAAUUUUCCUUUUCCACAUCUUCAAUAAAUAACAUUCCCCCAAG